GUCACUUUGCCGGAGUGGUUAACGGGAUCGCCUGCUAUUUCAACGAAUGACAUAGUAUAGCGGUUGGGCUUUGCCCGCGUGUGUUCGAAUCGCACAGGUGACG